GAUCAUGGCUCAGGAUGAACGCUGGCGGCGUGCUUAACACAUGCAAGUCGAACGGACGAUGAAAAGCUUGCUUUUCAAAGUUAGUGGCGGACGGGUGAGUAAUGCGUGGGUAACCUGCCUCAUACAGGGGGAUAGCAGCUGGAAACGGCUGAUAAAACCGCAUAAGCGCAUAGCAUCGCAUGAUGCAGUGUGAAAAACUCCGGUGGUAUGAGAUGGACCCGCGU
rnacentral:rRNA from 1 species